AACCAGCACCUCAAGUGGUCAGGAUGAUUAUUGGGCCUAAAGCAUCCGUAGCCGGAUCCAUAAGUUCUCGGUUAAAUCUAUGCGCUCAACGUAUAGGCUGCCGGGAAUACUGUGGAUCUAGGGAGUGGGAGAGGUAGACGGUACUCGGUAGGAAGAGGUAAAAUUCACUAAUCUAUCGAUGACCACCUGUGGCGAAGGCGGUCUACCAGAACACGUCCGACGGUGAGGGAUGAAAGCUGGGGGAGCAAACCGG
rnacentral:rRNA from 1 species